rnacentral:lncRNA from 1 species
UCUCUCACAUCCUAAUCUAAAAAAAAUUCUAGGAAACAGUGUAAUUUGAGAGUGUCUUUAGUUAGGUCGUUUAGGAUCUGGCUUGUAUUCUUCUUGAUAAAGUUAUUGAAGGAUAUCAUUUGAUUCAAGGGCUGGUUUUGUAAGAUUUCUGGGUGAGCGAUUUGCUCUUUCAGUUGUUAUAUUUACCGUCUCAAAAUGAGAAAAU